UGGGGAAUUUUGGACAAUGGGCGAAAGCCUGAUCCAGCCAUGCCGCGUGAGUGAAGAAGGCCUUCGGGUUGUAAAGCUCUUUUAGUCGGAAGGAAAAGAUCAUAAUGAACAAUUAUGAUUCAUGACGGUACCGACAGAAAAAGCACCGGCUAACUACGUGCCAGCAGCCGCGGUAAUACGUAGGGUGCGAGCGUUAAUCGGAAUUACUGGGCGUAAAGGGUGCGCAGGCGGUUUUGUAAGUCAGAUGUGAAAUCCCCGGGCUUAACCUGGGAAUUGCGUUUGAAACUGCAAGACUAGAGUGCGGCAGAGGGGAGUGGAAUUCCAUGUGUAGCAGUGAAAUGCGUAGAGAUGUGGAAGAACACCGAUGGCGAAGGCAGCUCCCUGGGUUGACACUGACGCUCAUGCACGAAAGCGUGGGGAGCAAACA
rnacentral:rRNA from 1 species